UUCGCCGUUUUUGGUCUUUUAUCCGUAAUUGUACCAAGAACAUUCUCCAAAUUGUGCAAGUGGUAUAUACAGAGGUAGUCAAAAUUUUUUACACAUCGAACUGUUUUUACUAAUUUCACAGAAAAAGCCUUUUCUUUUUGUUAUUGCUGUUGCAGUGGAACAAAAUGCUAUGUAGUUGUAAACAUUGAUAUACUCCAAAGCGAACGAUGAACGAAUUGGUUGGGAUAGCUGGACAUAUGAUAGAGAAAUAGUCAAAUGAACUGAUGACUACCAGUAGUCAAAAGUAUUUACAUUUUAUUUUUUUGCGGCAAAAGUAUUUACACACCGCUAUUUAGCCUUUAACCUUUGAUUCGAUGUGAGUAAGAGUAAUGGUUGGGAAUAUAUGUAUUGCAUUCAUAAUAAGCUAACUCUGGUUUAAGGCUUAAGCUUAAGACGGCUUACGAUUGGAAGGGCAAUUAAAUGAGAACUGGGUGGAAACCGGUGAUAGCUUAAAGAGAAGGCAAAGAUGGAUGACAUCAGGUUUAAGGAAAAUGAUCGCCUAAACAAAAAAGCUUUUAAAAAAGUAUGCCAAAGAGUUCAGGAAAUCGAAAAGUCGAACAAUAAUGUAACGAAAAUGGCACCAGAACAAACUAGAAUCGACAAUCGAAAUCGAUAACUUGCCAGAUGUAUCUAGAGAUCGAUAUUCGAAGUUUCCAGAAUGUUCGAGUGACGAUGUAUCGUUGUAAAGUAGAGUAUUGAGUAAUAAAGUGUUAAGUUAUAAGGAAUUGGAAAUAAAGAUUAGUGUAUAGCCAUUAAAGUGUGACUUUUAUUUGACAAUCCAGUGAUCGAACUCAGGGUAGAGUUUUAGAGUAAACGACAGAUUUUGGAAAUCCGUUACAAUAAGAUGAGACUUUGUAUGUAUUCCUGUUCAAAAAAGAGUGGCUAUUGCCUUAUACGCAUUAGGUUCGUCGGCUGAAUAUCGAACUGUUGCCAGUUUAUUUGGCGUAGGACGCACUUCAUUUGGAGAAAUUGUACUGGACUUUUGCAACGCUUUUUGCAAAAAUGUAGCGGAUUGCAUCAAUAGUGUUUCGGAGCAGUAUAUGGCUGCCAUGGUUCAGCCGAAAAAAGAAGACGCUGUCGAUUUCUAUAAGUAUAAAGGGUGGUAUUCCAUUGCUCUGUUAGCAAGUUGCGACUAUAGGUAAACUUCAUUAAUGGUUUAUUUUAAAUAUGUAUACAAAUUCUCUUUGAUAGGUUUAAAUAUACUUAGACAUGUCGGAUCAGCUGGAAGAAAUAAUGAUUCAUACAUUUUUGAAUUGUCAUGAAAGCUCCGAAAUUUUUUCUCAGAACAGCAGAAUAAUUGGAGGUGUUAUUGUUCCUGUGCUACUUAUUGGGGAUUCAGCUUUUUGAAUGUCGUGUUAUAUGAUGAAGCCUUUCCAUAUUCACCAAAUCAACCACUUUUAGAAAAAAGACAAAAAUGGAUGACAUCAGGUUUAAGGAAAAUGAUCGCCUAAACAAAAAAGCAUUUAAAAAAGUAUGCCAAAAAGUUCAGGAAAUCGAUAAGUCGAACAAUAAGAUGAGACUUUGUAUUCCUGUUCAAAAAAGAGUGGCUAUAGCCUUAUAUGCAUUAAUGACUUCAAGACAACAGAGAUCGGGAUGGUCACUCCAUGACGAAAUAGAGCUUAUAGAUAAGUGGUAAGCGCAUUCGCAAGGCAAAGAGGAACGCGGAUAUUUAUCAAAAUAUGGCACAGGAAAUGGACAAUAGAUACCCGGCUGAGGAAAUUCACACAAAGUGAAGGAUUUGGCCAAGAAAUACAGAGAAGAAAAAACUAAAAUGGGCCCAUCAGGCGGUAGCCCUUCUGGACGGAAACACUACCAGGCAGUGCAUCGAAUUAUCGGGUCCACAGUGGUCAAUUCCACGACGUGCAUGUCGUCCUAUCAUAUGGUAAACAAAUCAAAAAAAUAUACUAAAAUCGAGUGCAGAGGAAGCCAAGGUAGUGAAUGAUGAGAUUGUUGGUGCGAUUCGUGAGCACAACAGAAUGACGGACAGAUUUUUAAAUAUGAUGGAGAAACUUACCGAAAAACUUUAAGUCCUUCUUCAUUUUUUUUAAUUUUUAUAUAUGAUUUACUCAUAUAUUAAUGGAAUUAUUUUAAGAAAUAUGAAUUUAAAAUAAAGACUUUGUUUUUUUAAAGCAU